AUGAACGCUGGCGGCGUGCCUAAUACAUGCAAGUCGAACGAGGUGCUUUGUAGCAAUACGAGAGUAUCCUAGUGGCGAACGGGUGAGUAACGCGUUGGUGACCUACCCCAAAGUGUGGGAUAACAGUCCGAAAGGAUUGCUAAUACCGCAUGUGGUCAUUGGAUUUAGAAACUGAUGACUAAAGGAGCAAUUCGCUUUGGGAGGGACCUGCGUCCCAUCAGCUAGUUGGUGAGGUAACGGCUCACCAAGGCGACGACGGGUAGGGGACCUGAGAGGGUGGCCCCCCACAAUGGAACUGAAACACGGUCCAUACUCCUACGGGUGGCAGCAGUAGGGAAUAUUGCACAAUGGGCGAAAGCCUGAUGCAGCAACGCCGCGUGUGUGAUGAAGGCCUUCGGGUCGUAAAGCACUUUUCUGGGAGAUGAGAAAGGACAGUAUCCCAGGAAUAAGUCUCGGCUAACUACGUGCCGGCAGCCGCGGUAAAACGUAGGAGGCGAGCGUUAUCCGGAUUCACUGGGCGUAAAGCGCGUGCAGGUGGCGCGGUAAGUUGGGCGUGAAAUCUCCCGGCUCAACUGGGAGAGGUCGUCCAAUACUACCGUGCUUGAGAGCAGAAGAGGAAGAUGGAAUUCCCGGUGUGUAGUGGUGAAAUGCGUAGAUAUCGGGAGGAACACCAGUGGCGAAGGCGAUCUUCUGGUCUGUUUCUGACACUCAGACGCGACAGCUAGGGUAGUAAACGGGAUUAGAGACCCCGGUAAUCCUAGCCGUAAACGAUGUGAACUUGGCGUUGGUGGGUUAAACUCCAUCAGUGCCGUAGCAAACGCGAUAAGUUCACCGCCUGGGGACUACGGCCGCAAGGUUAAAACUCAAAGGAAUUGACGGGGGCCCGCACAAGCAGCGGAGCGUGUGGUUUAAUUCGAUGCUACACGAAGAACCUUACCCAGGCUUGACAUACAGGUGGUAGGGAUCCGAAAGGUGACCGACCCGCAAGGGAGCCUGAACAGGUGUUGCAUGGCUGUCGUCAGCUCGUGUCGUGAGAUGUUCGGUUAAGUCCGCUAACGAGCGCAACCCUCGCUGCGUGUUACAAGUGUCACGCAGGACCGCCGGUAUUAAGCCGGAGGAAGGUGGGGGAUGACGUCAAGUCAGCAUGGCCUUUAUGCCUGGGGCUACACACACGCUACAAUGGGCAGUACAAUGGGUUGCUAAGCCGCGAGGUGGAGCCAAUCCCCCAAACUGUCCUCAGUUCAGAUUGCAGGCUGCAACUCGCCUGCAUGAAGCCGGGAGUUGCUAGUAAACGCGCGUCAGCUAUAGUGCGUUGAAUACGUUCUCGGGCCUUGUACACACCGCCCGUCACGUCAUGGGAGCUGGUAACACCUGAAGCCGGUAGCCUAACCGCAAGGAGGGCGCCGUCGAAGGUGGGGCUGGUGACUGGGACG
rnacentral:rRNA from 1 species